CAGCAGCCGCGGUAAUACGAAGGGUGCAAGCGUUAAUCGGAAUUACUGGGCGUAAAGCGUGCGUAGGCGGUUUGUUAAGUCUGCUGUGAAAUCCCCGGGCUCAACCUGGGAAUGGCAGUGGAUACUGGCAAGCUAGAGUGUGUCAGAGGAUGGUGGAAUUCCCGGUGUAGCGGUGAAAUGCGUAGAGAUCGGGAGGAACAUCAGUGGCGAAGGCGGCCAUCUGGGACAACACUGACGCUGAAGCACGAAAGCGUGGGGAGCAAACGGGAUUAGAUACCCGCGUAGUCCCUGUCUCUUAUAC
rnacentral:rRNA from 1 species